rnacentral:lncRNA from 1 species
AAUAACUUUAUUAUUGCCUCUAGGGCAUAUUUCCUUCAGUCUCCCACUUGCACUAGAGUCAAUAAUCUAGAUUACAUAGUAAUGAUUCUAACACCCAUGGAGUCUUGGUGCUGAUCAUGUUUUGCUCGUGAGAGAGGCUUAGUCAACGGGUCUGCAACAUUCAGAUCCGUAUGUAUCUUGCAAAUCUCUAUGUCUCCCACUUGGACUUGGUCCCGAAUGGAAUUGAAGCGUCGCUUGAUGUGCUUGGUCCUCUUGUGAAAUCUGGAUUCCUUUGCCAAGGCAAUUGCACCAGUAUUGUCACAGAAGAUCUUCAUUGGUCCCGAUGCACUAGGUAUGACACCUAGAUCGGAAAUGAACUCCUUCAUCCAGACUCCUUCAUUUGCUGCUUCAGAAGCAGCUAUGUACUCCGCUUCACAUGUAGAUCCUGCCACAACGCUUUGUUUAGAACUGCACCAACUUACAGCUCCAUCGUUUAAUAAAAACACGUAUCCGGUCUGCGAUUUAGAAUCGUCUGGAUCAGUGUCAAAGCUUGCAUCGACGUAACCAUUUACGACUAGCUCUUUGUCACCUCCAUAUACGAGAAACAUAUCCUUAGUCCUUUUUAGGUAUUUCAGGAUGUUCUUGACCGCUGUCCAGUGAUCCACUCCUGGAUUACUUUGGUACCUACCUGCCAAGCUUAUUGCUAAGCAUACGUCAGGUCUGGUACACAGCAUUUCAUACAUGAUAGAGCCUAUGGCUGAAGCAUAGGGAACAUCUUUCAUUUUCUCUCUAUCUUCUGCUGUGGUCGGGCAUUGAGUUUGACUCAACUUUACACCUUGUAGCACAGGCAAGAAUCCUUUCUUUGCCUGAUCCAUUUUGAACUUUUUUUCCAAAUUUUGUCAAGGUAUGUACUUUGUGAAAGUCCUAUUAAGCGUCUUGAUCUAUCUCUAUAGAUCUUGAUGCCCAAUAUGUAAGCAGCUUCACCGAGGUCUUUCAUAGAAAAACUUUUAUUCAAGUAUCCCUUUAUGCUAUCCAGAAAUUCUAUAUCAUUUCCAAUUAAUAAUAUGUCAUCAACAUAUAAAACUAGAAAUGCUACAGAGCUCCCACUCACUUUCUUGUAAAUACAGGCUUCUCCAAAAGUCUGUAUAAAACCAUAUGCUUUGAUCACACUAUCAAAAACGUUUAUUCCAACUCCGAGAUGCUUGCACCAGUCCAUAAAUGGAACGUUGGAGCUUGCACACUUUGUCAGCACUUUUUGGAUCAACAAAACCUUCAGGUUGCAUCAUAUACAACUCUUCUUCUAGAAAUCCAUUCAAGAAUGCAGUCUUGACAUCCAUUUGCCAAAUUUCAUAAUCAUGAAAUGCAGCAAUAGCCAACAUGAUUCGGACGACUUAAGCAUCGCUACGGGUGAGAAAGUCUCAUCGUAGUCAACCCCUUGAACUUGUCGAAAACCUUUUGCAACAAGUCGAGCUUUGUAGACAGUAACAUUACCAUCAGCGUCAGUCUUCUUCUUAAAGAUCCAUUUAUUCUCAAUGGCUUGCCGAUCAUCGGGCAAGUCAACCAAAGUCCAUACUUUGUUUUCAUACAUGGAUCCUAUCUCAGAUUUCAUGGCCUCUAGCCAUUUUGCGGAAUCUGGGCUCAUCAUCGCUUCCUCAUAGUUCGUAGGUUCAUCAUGGUCUAGUAACAUGACUUCCAGAAUAGGAUUUCCGUACCACUCUGGUGCGGAUAUUACUCUGGUAGACUUACAAGGUUCAGUAGAAACUUGAUCUAAAGUUUCAUGAUCAAUAUCAUUAGCUUCCUCACUAAUUGGUGUAGUUGUCACAGGAACCGGUUCUUGUGAUGAACUACUUUCCAAUAAGGGAGUAGAUACAGUUAUCUCAUCAAGUUCUACUUUCCUCCCACUCAUUUCUUUCGAGAGAAACUUCUUCUCUAGAAAGGAUCCGAUUUUAGCAACGAAAAUCUUGCCUUCAGAUCUGUGAUAGAAGGUGUACCCAAUUGUCUCCUUUGGGUAUCCUAUGAAGACACAUUUCUCCGAUUUGGGUUCGAGCUUAUCUGGUUGAAGUUUCUUCACAUAAGCAUCGCAGCCCCAAACUUUGAGAAACGACAACUUUGGUUUCUUGCCAAACCACAGUUCAUAAGGCGUCGUCUCAACGGAUUUUGAUGGUGCCCUAUUUAACGUGAAUGUGUCCGUCUCUUAAGCAUAACCCCAAAACGAUAGCGGUAAAUCGGUAAGAGACAUCAUAGAUCGCACCAUAUCAAGUAAAGUACUAUUACGACGUUUGGACACACCAUUUCACUGUGGUGUUCCAGGUGGCGUGAGUUGCGAAACUAUUCCACAUUGUUUCAAAUGUAAACCAAACUCGUAACUCAAAUAUUCUCCUCCACGAUCAGAUCGUAGAAACUUUAUUUUCUUGUUACGAUGAUUUUCUACUUCACUCUGAAAUUCUUUGAACUUUUCAAAUGUUUCAGACUUGUGUUUCAUCAAGUAGAUAUACCCAUAUCUGCUCAAAUCAUCUGUGAAGGUGAGGAAAUAACGAUAUCCGCCACGAGCCUCAACAUUCAUCGGACCACAUACAUCUGUAUGUAUGAUUUCCAACAAAUCUGUUGCUCUCUCCAUAGAUCCGGAGAACGGUGUUUUGGUCAUCUUGCCCAUGAGGCACGGUUCGCAAGUACCAAGUGAUUCAUAAUCAAGUGAUUCCAGAAGUCCAUCAGUAUGGAGUUUCUUCAUGCGUUUAACACCGAUAUGACCUAAACAUCAGUGCCACAAAUAUGUUGCACUAUCAUUAUCAACUCUACAUCUUUUGGCUUCAACAUUAUGAAUAUGUGUAUCACUACUAUCGAGAUUUAAUAAAAAUAGACCACUCUUCAAGGGUGCAUGACCAUAAAAGAUAUUACUCAUAUAAAUAGAACAACCAUUAUUCUCUGAUUUAAAUGAAUAACCGUCUCGCAUCAAACAAGAUCCAGAUAUAAUGUUCAUGCUCAACGCAGGCACCAAAUAACAAUUAUUCAGGUCUAAAACUAAUCCCGAUGGUAGAGGUAGAGGUAGCGUGCCGACCGCGAUCACAUCGACUUUGGAACCAUUUCCCACGCGCAUCGUCACCUCGUCCUUAGCUAAUCUUCGCUUAAUCCAUAGUCCCUGUUUCGAGUUGCAAAUGUUAGCAACAGAACCAGUAUCAAAUACCCAGGUGCUACUGCGAGCAUUAGUAAGGUACACAUCAAUAACAUGUAUAUCACAUAUACCUUUGUUCACUUUGCCAUCCUUCUUAUCCGCCAAAUACUUGGGGCAGUUCCGCUUCCAGUGUCCAGUCUGCUUGCAGUAGAAGCACUCAGUUUCAGGCUUAGGUCCAGACUUGGGUUUCUUCACUUGAGCAGCAACUUGUUUGCUGUUCCUUUUGAAGUUCCCCUUCUUCUUCCCUUUGCCCCUUUUCUUGAAACCAGUGGUCUUGUUGACCAUCAACACUUGAUGCUCCUUUUUGAUUUCUACCUCCGCGGCUUUCAGCAUCGCGAAGAGCUCGGGAAUAAUCUUGUUCAUCCCUUGCAUAUUAUAGUUCAUCACAAAGCUCUUGUAGCUUGGUGGCAGUGAUUGGAGAAUUCUGUCAAUGACGCUAUCAUCCGGAAGAUUAACUCCCAGUUGAAUCAAGUGAUUAUUAUACCCAGACAUUUUGAGUAUAUGCUCACUGACAGAACUGUUCUCCUCCAUCUUGCAGCUGUAGAACUUAUUGGAGACUUCAUAUCUCUCAAUCCGGGCAUUUGCUUGAAAUAUUAACUUCAACUCCUGGAACAUCUCAUAUGCCCCAUGACGUUCAAAAUGUCGUUUGAAGACCCGGUUCUAAGCCGUAAAGCAUGGCACACUGAACUAUAGAGUAGUCAUCAGCUUUGCUCUGCCAGACGUUCUUAACAUCGUCAGUUGCAUCAGCAGCAGGCCUGGCACCCAGCGGUGCUUCCAGGACGUAACUCUUUUGUGCAGCAAUGAGGAUAAUCCUCAGGUUACGGACCCAGUCCGUGUAAUUGCUACCAUCAUCUUUCAACUUUGCUUUCUCAAGGAACGCAUUAAAAUUCAACGGAACAAUAGCACGAGCCAUCUAUCUACAAACAAACAUAGACAAGCAAAAUACUAUCAGGUACUAAGUUCAUGAUAAAUUUAAGUUCAAUUAAUCAUAUUACUAAAGAACUCCCACUUAGACAGACAUCUCUCUAGUCAUCUAAGUGAUUAUGUGAUCCAAAUCAACUAAACCAUGUCCGAUCAUCACGUGAGAUGGAGUAGUUUCAAUGGUGAACAUCUCUAUGUUGAUCAUAUCUACUAUAUGAUUCACGCUCGACCUUUCGGUCCCCGUGUUCCGAGGCCAUAUCUGUAUAUGCUAGGCUCGUCAAGUAUAACCUGAGUAUUCCGCGUGUGCAACUGUUUUGCACCCGUUGUAUUUGAACGUAGAGCCUAUCACACCCGAUCAUCACGUGGUGUCUCAGCACGAAGAACUUUCGCAACGGUGCAUACUCAGGGAGAACACUUCUUGAUAAUUAGUGAGAGAUCAUCUUAAAAUGCUACCGUCAAUCAAAGCAAGANNNNNNNNNNNNNNNNNNNNNNNNNNNNNNNNNNNNNNNNNNNNNNNNNNNNNNNNNNNNNNNNNNNNNNNNNNNNNNNNNNNNNNNNNNNNNNNNNNNNNNNNNNNNNNNNNNNNNNNNNNNNNNNNNNNNNNNNNNNNNNNNNNNNNNNNNNNNNNNNNNNNNNNNNNNNNNNNNNNNNNNNNNNNNNNNNNNNNNNNNNNNNNNNNNNNNNNNNNNNNNNNNNNNNNNNNNNNNNNNNNNNNNNNNNNNNNNNNNNNNNNNNNNNNNNNNNNNNNNNNNNNNNNNNNNNNNNNNNNNNNNNNNNNNNNNNNNNNNNNNNNNNNNNNNNNNNNNNNNNNNNNNNNNNNNNNNNNNNNNNNNNNNNNNNNNNNNNNNNNNNNNNNNNNNNNNNNNNNNNNNNNNNNNNNNNNNNNNNNNNNNNNNNNNNNNNNNNNNNNNNNNNNNNNNNNNNNNNNNNNNNNNNNNNNNNNNNNNNNNNNNNNNNNNNNNNNNNNNNNNNNNNNNNNNNNNNNNNNNNNNNNNNNNNNNNNNNNNNNNNNNNNNNNNNNNNNNNNNNNNNNNNNNNNNNNNNNNNNNNNNNNNNNNNNNNNNNNNNNNNNNNNNNNNNNNNNNNNNNNNNNNNNNNNNNNNNNNNNNNNNNNNNNNNNNNNNNNNNNNNNNNNNNNNNNNNNNNNNNNNNNNNNNNNNNNNNNNNNNNNNNNNNNNNNNNNNNNNNNACAUCACAACAUGCCCUGCAAAAACAAGUUAGACGUCCUCUACUUUGUUGUUGCAAAUUUUACGUGGCUGCUACGGGCUUAAGCAAGAACCAAUCUCACCUACGCAUCAAAACCACAACGAUAGUUUGUCAAAUAGACUCUGUUUUAACCUUCACAAGGACCGGGCGUAGCCACACUCGGUUCAACUAAAGUGAGAGAGACAGACACCCGCCAGCCACCUUUAAGCACGAGUGCUCGUAACGGUGAAACCAGUCUCGCGUAAGCGUACGCGUAAUGUCGGUCCGGGCCGCUUCAUCUCACAAUACCGCUGAACCAAAGUAUGACAUGCUGGUAGGCAGUAUGACUUAUAUCGUCCACAACUCACUUGUGUUCUACUCGUGCAUAUAACAUCAACGCAUAAAACCUAGGCUCGGAUGCCACUGUUGGGGAACGUAGUAAUUUCAAAAUUUUCCUACGCACAUGCAAGAUCAUGGUGAUGAUAUAGCAACGAGGGGAGAGUGUUGUCUACGUACCCUCGUAGACCGAAGCGGAAGCGUUGACGCAACGUAGAGGAAGUAGUCGUACGUCCUCUGGUUCAACCGAUCCAAGUACCGUUACUCCGGCACCUCCGAGUUCUUGACACGCGUACAGCUCGAUGACGCACCCUCGAUCUCCGAUCCAGCAGAGGCGCCGAGGGGGAGUUCCGUCAGCACGACGGCGUGGUGACGAUCUUGAUGUUCUCCUUUUGCAGGGCUUCGCCUAAGCACCGCUACAAUAUGACCGAGGUGUAAUAUCGUGGAGGGGGGCACCGCACACGGCUAAGGAACGAUCAAUGAUCAACUUGUGUGUUCUAGGGUGCCCCCCUACCCCCGUAUAUAAAGGAGGGAGGGAGGAGGUGGCCGGACCUAGGGGGGCGCGCCAUGAGGAGGGGGAAACCUACUCCAAGUAGGUUUCCCUCUCUUUUCCUUAUCUUAUUUGGAGGGGGAAGGAAAGAGUACUAGUAUUAGGAAGUAGUACUAGUAGUAGUAAUAGGAAGAGGGGGAAGGAGAAAGGAAAGGGGGGUCGGCCCCCCUCCCCAAUUCGGAUUGGGCUUGGGGGGGCGCGCCCCCUUCCCUUGCUCCUUCUCUCUUCCUCCUACAUGGGCCCAAUAAGGCCCAUAUACCUCCCGGGGGGUUCCGGUAACCUCCCGGGGCUCCAAACUUCUCCCGAACCUUUCCGGUGUCCAAAUAUAUCCGUCCAAUAUAUCAAUCUUUAUGUCUUGACCAUUUCGAGACUCCUCGUCAUGUCCGUAAUCAUAUCCGGGACUCCGAACAACCUUCGGUACAUCAAAAUACAUAAACUCAUAAUAUAACUGUCAUCGAAACCUUAAGCGUGCGGACCCUACGGUUCGAGAACGAUGUAGACAUGACUGAGACACAUCUCUGGUCAAUAACCAAUAGCGGGACCUAGAUGCCCAUAUUGGUUCCUACAUAUUCUACGAAGAUCUUUAUCGGUCAAACCGCAUAACAACAUAUGUUGUUCCCUUUGUCAUCGGUAUGUUACUUGUCCGAGAUUCGAUCGUCGGUAUCCAAUACCUAGUUCAAUCUCGUUAUCGACAAGUCUCUUUACUCGUUUUGUAAUACUUCAUCUUAUAACUAACUCAUUAGUUACAUGCUUGCAAGGCUUAGGUGAUGAGCAUUGCCGAGAGGGCCCAGAGAUACCUCUCCGACAAUCGGAGUGACAAAACCUAAUCUCGAAUUAUGCUAACUCAACAUGUACCUUCGGAGACACCUGUAGUACUCCUUUAUAAUCACCCAGUUACGUUGUGACGUUUGGUAGUACCCAAAGUGUUCCUCCGGUAAACGGGAGUUACACAAUUCUAAUAGUUACAGGAACAUGUAUAAGUCAUGAAGGAAGCAAUAGCAGAAUACUAAACGAUCAAGUGCUAAGCUAACGGGAUGGGUCAUGUCAAUCACCUCAUUCUCCUAAUGAUGUGAUCCCAUUAAUCAAAUGACAACACAUGUCAAUGGUUAGGAAACAUAACCAUCUUUGAUUAAUGAGCUAGUCAAGUAGAGGCAUACUAGUGACUAUAUGUUUGUCUAUGUAUUCACACAUGUAUCAUGUUUCCGGUUAAUACAAUUCUAGCAUGAAUAAUAAACAUUUAUCAUGAUAUGAGGAAAUAAAUAAUAACUUUAUUAUUGCUUCUAGGGCAUAUUUCCUUCACUUGGGUGCACAUAAUCCUUUACAAGACUGAAGUGCAGGAUGUCUUCCGACGCUUCGCAAAUCGAGCUAUGAACAAUUAUGGCGCCAAGAUAAAGCACAUCAGAAGUGACAAUGGCACUGAAUUCAAGAACACUGGCCUUGAUACAUAUCUUUAUACCUUGGGCAUCACACAUGAAUUCUCAGCCCCGUACACGCCACAGUAGAAUGGCAUCGUCGAACGCAAGAACAGAACACUCAUUGAGAUGGCCAGAACGAUGCUAGAUGAAUACAAGACCCCAAGAAAAUUCUGGCCUGAAGCCAUUGAUACUGCAUGCCAUACAAUCAAUCGUGUUUAUCUUCACAAGCUUCUGAACAAGACAUCUUAUGAGCUCCUUACUGGCAAGAAGCCAAAUGUCAGUUACUUCAGAGUAUUUGGCUCAAGGUGCUGGAUCAAGGACCCACAUCACACCUCAAAGUUUGCACCAAAAGCACAUGAGGGUUUUAUGCUUGGAUAUGGAAAGGAUUCACACUCCUACAGAGUCUUCAAUCUCUUUCAUUACAAAGUGGUUGAAAUAGUGGAUGUGCGGUUCGAUGAGACCAACGGUUCACAAAGAGAGCAACUGCCAAAUGUGCUAGAUGAAGUUCCAUCUAGUGAAUCAAUCAAGCUAAUGGGAACUGGAGAGAUUAUACCUUCCGAAGCUCAUCCUGAAGAAGAACUUAUCAUCUCAGCACCUGAUCAACAUGAAGACAAUGCUCAACCUAAAGACAUUCCUUCUAACAACGACAAUGAUCAGCAAGAGCAAAAUCUUCGCCCUGUACAUCCUCGCGUUGCCAAUGAAGUGCAGAUUGAAAGAAUAAUUGAUAGCAUCAAUCCACCCGGUCCACUCACUCGUUCAAGGGCAACUCAGCUAGCAAAUUUCUGUGGGCACUUCGCAUUCGUCUCAAUAACAGAACCCAAGAAAGUUGAAGAAGCCUUCAUGGAACCUGAAUGGAUUCAAGCUAUGCAAGAAGAGCUUCAACAGUUUGAGCUGAAUAAUGUAUGGGAACUAGUUAAGCGUCCUGAUCCACGGAAGCACAAUAUAAUAGGCACCAAAUGGAUAUACCGCAACAAGCAAGAUGAGCAUGGUCAAGUUGUCAGAAACAAAGCUCGUCUCGUUGCUCAAGGAUAUACUCAAGUGGAAGGCAUUGACUUCGAUGAAACAUUUGCUCCUGUGGCUAGACUUGAAGCCAUACGCAUACUGCUGGCCUAUGCAAAUCAUCAUAACAUACUUCUAUAUCAAAUGCAUGUGAAGAGUGCUUUUCUCAAUGGCAAGAUUGAAGAAGAAGUGUAUGUUGCACAACCGCCUGGCUUUGAAGAUCCAAAACAUCCUGACAUGGUAUACAAGCUCAACAAGGCACUGUAUGGCCUCAAACAAGCUCCUCGGGCCUAGUAUGACACACUCAAAUACUUCCUGAAGAGCAAAGGCUUCAUACCUGGUUCCCUAGACCCCACUCUCUUCACGAAGACAUAUGAUGAUGAACUGUUUGUGUGCCAAAUAUAUGUGGAUGACAUUAUCUUCGGCUGCACCAAUCAGAAGUAAAGUGAAGAGUUUGGAUAUAUGAUGCAAGAGCAAUAUCAGAUGUCCAUGAUGGGGGAGCUGAAGUUCUUCCUCGGUCUUCAAAUACGACAACAACACAACGGCAUCUUCAUAUCUCAAGAGAAGUAUCUCAAAGAUUGCCUGAAGAAGUUCGGUAUGCAAGACUGCAAAGGCUUCACAACACCAAUGCCAGCCAAACAUCAUCUGAGUCCCGACGACAAUGGUAAAGAGUUUGAUCAAAAGGUAUACCGCUCCAUGAUUGGUUCUUUACUUUAUCUAUGUGCAUCUAGGCCAGAUAUUAUGCUUAGUGUUUGCAUGUGUGCUCGAUUUCAAGCAGCACCAAAGGAGUCGCAUCACUUAGCUGUGAAGCGAAUUCUUCGAUAUUUGGCUCACACCCCAACUCUAGGAUUAUGGUAUCCAAAGGGCUCAGAGUUUGAUCUGGUUGGAUUCUCAGAUGCUGAUUAUGCUGGUGACAAAGUUGAUCGCAAGUCUACAUCAGGCACAUGUCACUUUCUGGGACGAUCACUUGUAUGUUGGUCUUCAAAGAAGCAAAACUGUGUAUCUCUCUCCACUGCUGAAUCUGAAUACAUUGCUGCUAGAUCUUGCUGCGCUCAGCUUCUGUGGAUGAAGCAAACACUCAAGAACUAUGGCAUUUGUCUGAAGCAAGUGCCACUUUACUGCGACAACGAAAGCACCAUCAAGAUUGCUAACAACCCAGUUCAGCACUCGAAGACAAAGCACAUUGAAAUUCGUCAUCACUUUCUCAAAGAUCAUGUUGUGAAGGAAGACAUUGAUAUCAUACACAUUAACACUGAAGAGCAACUGGCAGAUAUCUUCACCAAGCCCUUGGAUGAGAAGAGAUUUUGCAAGUUACGGUGUGAGCUAAAUAUCCUGGAAUCCUCAAAUGUCCUGUGAUCAGGCACACAUCCUAACCCUAAUGCAUAUUGAUGACUUAGAUGUGCAACACACGAAGUAAAGUAUAUCUUCAAUCAAUGAAGACAUACAUUCUAAGUGUGAAUACAUUAAUGUGGAAUUUGACUUCGGAGCGCCACGAUAAUUGUGCGCCGUGUCUGGGUCUAAUACUUCCUAUACGGUGGGUAACGCCACCACCAAAUGUUCUAUUUGAAGUGUUUCACUCAUGGCGUUACAAUUGCUAUGUCUUCACAUUUUGUUUGGCUUCAAUCUCAACAUAUCUUCAUGAUUAUCUUCACUAUGUUAAUUAUAUAGAUAUAUAUAUAUAUACUAGUGUUCUGUCCUCUACAGCAUUCACUUAUAGCUAUGUCUUCAUUGUUGAAUCUUUUGAACUAAGUGAAUGUGAUCGGACCCUAACCUCUCUAUGCUUUCUAUCUCAAAUUCUAUCUCUCCAAAUCAUAUGCAUUCUAUUGAAACUAUCGAAUGUCUUCUCUGUGUCCUUGUCAGCAGAAGAUACAGAGACAACCAUUAAGUCCAUUUUCAAUGCUCAUUCCCCCACAUGAAACCCGGAGAAGUAGGAACGACCACCCGACAAUCAAGGCGUGCGUGGGACGUGGAACAAACCCCAAAAUUCCGCAUAAUGGCCACGUGUUCCUCAGAUGCGAAUCGCCAGGGGCACCUGUGUAAUAGCGUAGUGCCGCCCAUGUACCUAUAAAUACACACUUCACAGCGGUCAUUAUCUCUUCUUCCACUCUCGCACGAACCCUAGCGCCACCGCUAGCCCUCGACAACGCCGGCGACGAAGCGCUUCGCUGCUGCAACCUCUCCAACGCCGUCUUCACGCCGACCGCGGACAUCGUCCUCUCCGCCGUCGCCGUAGGUGUCCUCCGUCGCCAAGUUAGGGCACGGAAGAUCGAACUGCUCGGCCUCAUCUUCCACUUCGUCUAGCAGUUCUUAGUGUGGUAAAUAAAACUUCCUUUUUACAGCACCGUUGAUCCUAUGGAUUUGACACUUUCUACCACAAGUAGUUUCUAUUCACACAAGUUAGAUCUCUCUCAUACUGCAUCUCAUAACAUGCCUAGUAUAUUCACUUAUGCUUCACAAAGUAGUUAGAUUCCUCACUUGUACUGAUCUGUGGAUUCGUACAAAUCUGGAACCAACUCCUUAUCUAUGAGUGAAUGUCUUCGCACGAUGAGGUCAAUGUCUUCUAAACUGAUUUAUCUUCAAAAUCUUCUGAGAAUGCAUAUGACCUCUUCCCCUUCCCUCGCACCUUAAUGCUAUCACAGGUACAUGUCCGUGGGAGAAUCCUUUGGUUCUCAUAGUCUGCAUUCAUUUGCAGAAUUCUUACAGCAUCACAUUAAUUCUCCCGAAGCCAGUUCCUGUUGGUCCAGCAAGCGAAAACCUUUGAAGCCUUUGAACAUGUUGAAGCCUUUCAAGUUAAAGUUUAUGGCUUCAGAGAAAGCAGCAAGGAAGGGUGGCAGAAAGCGUCGUGGAGAAACAUCCAGAGAUCUGCCAGAUGACCUCUCAGAACUGUACAAGACAGAUCCUAAAGAGGAUUACAAUCAGUGCAAGACCUGAAUCCAAUGGAUUCGAAGAUAUUGGGCAGAACAAUGGUUCAAAUACCGAUUUGUAACCUAGGAAUAUGCUGAGAAAAAUGCCAUCAAGAAACCGUGGGGAGACAUCCUAUACAAGAAUCUUCUACCCAGGUCCAGAGAUGAAGCAAUUACACAAGGCUUCUAUCCCUGCAUGGUCCGUGGGCCACAGCCUGCUGAUGCACAUCCAUCGUCACUACUAUGGUGUCGUGACGACAAUCUGUUCAAGCGCAACUUCCAGUUUGCCCAGAACUCAGCGAAGCAGAACAAGAAGACUUUGGGGUUAGACUUCAACCCUGGUCCCUCAGCACCAAGGGCAGAUGGCACACGACAUGCAGAACCCAAUGUCAUCGAUCCUUUCUACAACCUUGAAGGCCUCAUCACCCGCAUCUUAGUUCAAGGAACUGCAGUGAAUGAGCCUGCAGCUGACGCUGAAUCAGAUGAAGCGCCUGCAGCGCCGAAGACAAAGAAGCUGAAGAAGCCUAAAGCUUCAAAGCCUGCCCCUUCACCAAAAAUCUCACGGUCGAAGCCACUGGCAACUGCACCUCCUGAAGACAGUGUGCAGUCCGAAGACUUAUCUCGCAUCUCCAAGCCCCAGAAGGUCAAGAUGCCUCUGCCUCACACCGGACAAGAGCUAACUGCUGUUGCCAUUCUGCGCAAUGACGACAUUGAUCUGUCAAGUGAUGAAGAUCUAGCAGAUGACGCUCUUGAGCAACUCAUCAAGAGCAAAGAAGAAGCAGAAAUCUUCAAUGAUCUGCCUCUCUUUGAUGUGACCAUCAUCCACAACUUCAUUGACGAGUGGUUUGACACGCCAAACAUCAGCUUUGAAGAUCUGCAGCUACCAAUUGGCCUCAGUGUCGCCUUCCAAGGCGCCAUUGCUUCAGAACUCGCUAUUGCCCAGCGCAUUGUUGAACUGAAGCAAAAGAUUGACUAUGAAAAGGCUCAGUUCAAGAAGCAUAUGGCCAAGCUCAGCAUGCAGGAAGUGAAGAACUUCAAGAGUAUGAUGCACGAGCUCAAGGAAGCCUUUGUAAAGAAACAUGCAGAAGCUCAGGGUUCACGUGAGCGCAUGAAGACUCUGGCUGACAGAUGUGUGCAAGCCUACAAUGAGGCUGAGAAGCGCAAGGCCCUUGGGCGUCCUGGCAUCGACCCCAGGAUGGCCGCAAAGAAGAAGAAGAAGCCUGCUACGGCUAAACCUGACGCACCAAGGCAGGAAGCAGUUCCGAUUGUCUUCCCAACUAGACUGACUGGCUCGAAGCCAAAAAGCCAGUCAACCGCUUCAGAGCUCAAGAAGACAAGGACUGCUGAGGCUGAAACCAGGAAGAGGAAACACUCUGAAGCCUCUCCAACUGCCCCCUCCAAGAAGAAGAGGAAGACCAAGAAAGAUCGGGCUGCUCCCACAGAGCCCUUGAUAGUUGAACCCAUUUCUAUGGUCUAUCCUGAAGCUGAACGCCAACUGACUAUCCAUGAGCCUGCUUCCAUAGAGGCUCAUGAAGCUGAAGACUUUCCAGCAUCUGAUCCCAUCACUGCUGAAGACAUUGGUCAACAAGACCAUGUAGAAGAUGGUGCAGUCCUUCCUCAGAACAGCGAACUCAUCAGCAUUGGUCGUCCACUGACGCCAAUUGCACAGGAUGCUUCAUGGGCGGAUCGCCCACAAGAGGAAGAAUACUUUGAGGCCCAGCCAACUCCAACUCCAUAGGCGUCGCCUGCGUUGCGUAGGCUUUGCAAAGGUCCAAGGCCUCAAGUCUCUGCUGAAGACAAUCCGGCUGCAUCAGCCGCGGAAGAUGAAGUCCCACAAGUUGCCACUCCACUGUUCCACCAAGAAGCAGUUCUCAAGGAGAACGUGCUUGAAAAUCUUGCGGCUGUCACAACCACCAAUGAAGCUAAUGUGGAGCCUUCCCCAACGGAAGAAGAAGACAGCAAAGCCACUGAUCCCGUCACUUCUGUUCCUGAGUCUGCUGCCGGUCCCCAGUUUGACUAUCAUGUUAAGCACAUGCCUCAGGUACAGAAGCCAAUCCCAAGAUUGCCAAGGUUCCCAGGUCCUGCAUCAGCACCUGGCUCCUUCAAUAUCAAUGGCUUCAGGGCAGACAACACAUUCUUUGAUAGCUCUAGGAACCCCUACUCAAGGGAAAGGAUAUCAUCUGAUCGGUUCUGGAGCUAUCCUCAGCGAAGCUAUUACUCAUGCAUUCUUUACAACCAAGGUCGCAUCUUCCCACAUAAGCGCCUUGAUAUUGAAGCCAUAGCUGGUCUGCCCUGUUUGGAAGAAGCUUUGGAUUGCUUCAAGGAAGUUGGAAUGCUGCCGUUCGUUACUGACCAAGAGCAUUGGAAUGAAGAGUUGCUGCUCCAAUUCUAUGCCACACUUCACAUCCGCGGGUACAGCAGAGAUCUGAAGACUUGGGUCCUGGAGUGGAUGACCAGAAAUGUUCAUCACGAAGCCAAUGCAUUUGACAUCAUUGAGCUCACUGGUUUGCCCACUCCUGGCGAUCUCUACGAGCAUGGCUGUCAGCUGCAUAGUGAAGCUAUUGAGAGCAUCUUUAAGAGGCCGGAACCUGAUAUGAGUCAGAUGCUCAGCAUGAUGAAGCCAUUGCCCCAAGAUGCUGCUUAUCCAACAGAGUUCUUCGUUGAAGGCCUUGAGUAUCUGCCAAGAACCAUCUAUCACAUCAUCAGGCGAACUCUCUGGCCCAUCAAAGGGCACUCUCCAAAUGCCAAGCUUGAGGGUGCAAUGAAGACUUUGGUCUUCUAUAUUCUUCAUGGAAAAUGCUUUAAUGCACAUGACUUAUUCAUCCGCCAACUUGCUGCAUCAGGCUCUGAUCUGUUUGGCUUGAAAUUCUACGCCCCAUGGGUAAUGCGGCUAAUUAAACUUCACUCUGAUAUCUCAUAUCAGUCAUCUGCUCGCAAUCAUAGGAUUUUUCUGCCUGAUGUGGAUAUCUCUACUGAAGCCAUCUAUCCUGAGCCUGCAAAGGAACCUCUAAGUCUUCAGAAUCCAGAGCAUCAGAGUUUCUCACAGAACAUUGAAGGAGUUGAAGCAGUCACUCGGGUGUAUCCUUUGGUUGGCACUACACGUGCACCACACCCUGCGUCUACUGAAGCCACUAAUAGUACAACUGCUCCAAGACCCAAGAAGCGCACUCGUGUUCUCAAUGACCGAGAGCUUCUUGUGGCUCUUCAUCAGAAACAGGAUAGGCAUCAUGACUGGCUGAAGCGUCAGAUGAAAAGCCUCUUGGUGGAUGUUAAUCGCAUUCGCAAUCUUGCCACCAAGAAUGCUUUCUUUGCCCAUGAAACCUGUCACCGCACAUGGAAAGGGCUAAGGAUGAUGUGUUCUGAAGAUGAUCUCCAAGAGGAUGGCUUCACUGAGCGAUUCAAGUUUGACUCCACACCUCCUCGAAGAGCUGUGCUGCUAGGAACUCCAUCCCUUGAAGACUCUGAGUUCUCUUCAUCUGCUGCAACAGUGACUGCCAGAGUUAUCGAGGAUGAAGAUGAUGCUACUUCACCACCACCUCCUUCAGCACGCGUCAACUCUGCUCCAAGCUCUUCAGCACCGCCAAACACCACCAACGACCCUGCUACUUCACCUACUCCGCAUGGGAACGAGUAGAUGCUCUAUGUCUUCAAACCUUUUUGGUCCUUACUGACAAAAGGGGGAGAAGCAUAUGAGGUUGAUAGUCUUCAAGCGGGUCCGUAUGGGUGGGUGCUUUAUAUUUUGCUUUGUGCUUACAACUCUCGUUUUGCUACAUUUGGUUCUUUGAGUUGUAACACUUAAACUCGAUGGUCGUCUGCUACUUAUCUGCCACUUUGUUUUGCGAUGAUAAAUUCCGCAUGUGCGACGAUAAAUUCCGCACUUAGAUCAUUCUGCAGACGUCCAUUUUCCAUUAUGCAUUGUCAUUAUCUUCAUAUACUUUCACAUACAUAAUGGAUUGUCAUCAUAAGUUGAAGUGGAUCUCCACAAGUACAACCUGCCAUGUGCAUUUGCAUUCCAAAAGCAAAUUACUUAUAUGCACAUCUUCAGGGGGAGCCCUUGCAACUUAUGAAGACAAUUCCUUAUCCUUUACAAUUUCACAGAUUAUAUUCCCCGUUGGAAACUUCAACUAGUUUGUCAUCAAUCACCAAAAAGGGGGAGAUUGUAAGUGCAUCUAGUGCCACCCCUAGUUGGUUUUGGAGUAUUGACGACAAACCUAGUUGAGGGACUAAUGUGUUUGUGAGAAUUGCAGGAUAACACAGGUAGAAGUCCCUCAUUGAUUCGGUUUUCCUACCAGAGAUGACCCCUAAAAAUGUAUGAAGACAUUGAAGUCAAAGGUGGUAUAUGAAGAUAUUCACAUUGAAGACUAUGACAAGAGAAGACACCACAUGAAGCCUAUGGAGCUCGAAGACUUAGAUCUUUCGUAGUUCUUUUUCUUUUGUGUUGAGUCAUAGGAACCAGCGUACUGUUAAGUGGGGUCCAAGAGAACCAGUCAGAAUGAUUGAAGUGAUGCCUAACCAAAAACCUAUGUCUUCGAGUGAAGACUAUGAGAGCGAACCUUGUCCAGAGUCGGACAAGUCAGCUUUGCUUGUAGCCCAAGUAAAGUUGCCGUGUGAGUUUGAAAUCUGACCGUUGGAACACGUGUCAGUUCCUUAGUGACCCAGGGUCAUUUCGGACAAAUCAGGUCGAGUUGCCAAGUGGCUAUAAAUAGCCCACCCCCCACAACCAUAAACGGUUGGCUGCUCAGAUUGAGAGUACGGCUUUUGUCGUUUGAGAGCAACCCACCUUGAAGCCUUUGAGAGAGAAUUCCUUGCGAGGAUAAAGCCCUAACCACCCAGAGCCAAAGAGAAUUGGGCAUCACUUAAGUCUUCUUGUCUGUGUGAUCUGAAGACUUAUUACACUUGAGGACUGUGCAUCCUCCAGCCGGUUAGGCGUCGCGUUCUGAGCAUCCAAGAGACAUUGUGGAUUGCCGGUGAACGAAGUCUGUGAAGGUUUGGGAGUCUACCUUGAAGACUUACCAGAGUGAUUGGGCGAGGUCUGUGUGACCUUAGCUCAAGGGGAAUACGGUGAGGACUGGGUGUCCUAAGCUGCGUGUUCAGGACUGGGUGUUUGGGACUGUGUGUCCUAAGGUUUAAAUACCUAGCCGCCCCAACCAGACGUACAGUUGUCACAGCAACAGGAACUGGUCCAACAAAUCAUUGUCUUCAACGAGUCACUGGUUUCAUCUUCCCUUCCCUUUACUUACUGUUACUCCUUGUGAAGUCAUUGUAUGUUUGCACUAUCUUUUGUCUUCACUGAGUGACUGCAUGUUCUGUCUAGCUUCACAAUAUCUUCCUACCUGAUCCUUACUACAUUGCUGCUAUUAGUCAUUGUGCUUUCACUCUAUUGAAUACUUGACUAUUGCUUGCCUAGUGUAGUCUACCUUCCGCUGCAGGGUAUUAGGUUUAUUUCUAUCGUUUGUCUUCAUAACUCCCACGUUUUGAAAACUUUCAUAAAAAUCGCCUAUUCACCCCCCCCCCUCUAAUCGAUAUAACGCACUUUCAGGGACUAAGACACUCGAGCUCCUGGAGGGUGAACUCAGUGCGCAUGGUUUCCUGGAUUGCACUGAUAUCGAUGUGUUCGUCUCGCAUGUACUCGACGAGUUGGUGGCGGUGGCCAUCAUGGCCGAAGCCACGGAUGUUGCAUAAGAGGGCCCGCAUCUAAACCCCCAUAGGGGGGCUGCUUAACCCCAAGACACGGGAGGCACUUUGUGCACGGAGAGCGGCAGUGCGAGAGCGGGUGCGGACACGGGUCACACCGUCAGCCACCGGAGGGCCCAGACCCGCGGGGGUAGCGGGCGAGUCCACGGCGGGCCAGAGCAAGCGUGCCCGAGUCUCAGCCAGCUUGCCAUCUAAGAUCUCGCGAGCCCUAAUGGCCGCGGUCUAUUCUAAGGGGGGACCAACCUCCCCCCUGAAGACUAUGGCCGAGUCAGUAGCCACCUUGGCGAGGUGGCCAAGAGGGGCGGCCUCAAGCGCGGAAAAGGAACAACUGGAAGAACUGGGAGCGAUGGAAUCCACACCUGACUCGAGGUUCCGGACCGCCGCCAGAAGCUCCGCACGCUCAGCGACAGACGGAGUCGGGGAGUCCGCCGGACGGGUCGCAUCUAGGCGGGCGCUGCGGUCGGACGCCGUCACUAGCGUCGAUGUGGAGCAGGGCCGCCUGACGUACGCCACCGUCGGAGGAUGGUGAGCGGCGGUCGGGGUGGUCACGACCGUAGCCACCGUCGCGGCCGGGGAGGUGGGUGGAGCGAGGUGGGCGUCGGAGGCCACCGGCGGUGGGAGCGGGGAGACGGGCACCAGGGUGUCGCCCUCCGCAACGCCCGCGGGUAGAGGUGCCAGAGCCGGCGCGCCGAUGGGGAGGCCCCCACCGCCACCCGUGGGGACCGGAGAAGUCGAGCCAGGAGUGGCCGGGGGGUCUGGGGCCGACGGCGAGGUGAGCAGGGCAGAGACGGUGGACGGGAAGCGCGGCGACGAAGGCGGCACAACGAGUAGGCCCACACAGGAGAUGUCACUGCCGACUCGGAUGGAGGCGAAGGGGGCGCGACCGGCGUAGAGGCCAGGCGAAGCGCCACCGCGAGGUCAAUGGCCGACACUCGGGUGCGUCCCGUCCCGGAGCCGCCAUGGCCCGGAGGUGGGUUGGCGGGCUCGCGGGAUGGGGAGCGGGAGUGCUCAGACAAGUCCUCGUCAUACUCAGGAUCCUCGAGGCAUGAGUGACGGGACCGGCGGCGGCGGGAGCCGUCGUCGUCAGCUGGACCGCCCCCCAAGUGGCUGUCGUCAAAGAAGCGGGGGCGACCGAUGUGGUUCGGAGGCUCAGGGCAGAUCUUGAUGUCGUAGCCGUCGUCGUUGAAGAAGACCCGAAUCGUGGCGUGGAGCUUGGAGGAGUCCAGGCAUUUUACCUUGACCCGGACCUCCUCCUCCUUGCGGAGAGAGAGCUCGUCGACCACCACCACCUUGCCCAGGAGCUUGGACAUGCUGCGGAUGACGCGCUCGGACCGGGCCACAUCCGACAGGUCGGCGAUGAGGAUCCAAGCCGUGUCGAGGACCACCACGGCCUUGGGAUCCCACUUCGGCUCAGAGAUGUUCACCACGAUCCCGUUGAGGGCCAAGGUGAUGUUGUCGCUGCGGGUACAAAAGCCCAUGCUCAGAGCGUCGGGGAAGAUCACCGUGAAGGAGUUGGCCGCAGUGGGAGUCACCUGCCAGUCCCACUUGCAUUUACACAAGUGGUUGAGCUCGGCCUCAAUCAGCUCUGCGAUGGCGAUGGCCUCGCCAAUGGUAGUCACGAGAGCCAGGAGCGAGUGGGGGAGGGGCAGCUCCGGGACCUCGAUGUGGAAGAAGCCCAUGUCCUCGAUGCCGUGCCCGUACAUCAUAAGCUCCUCCGUCACCGGGCGGUCCGGACAGAGAAUCGCGGGGUGGCCGGCGUCCUUGCAGAGGUAGCACGUCGGAGGGUGGGGCAAGCCACCUGGAAGUGCCCGGUCAGUCCGCAGUUGAAACACGACGGACCGUUCUGAGGCGGAGGUGGAGCCUGGAUGUGGGGCGGCCGCGCCGGCAGCGGGAGUGGCAGCCGGGGGGCGGGGAGGUCCCUUCUUCUUCUUCUUUGCGCCCGGUCGCCCCCGGUUCCCGUUUCCCCCAUUGGUCGGCGAGAACGAGGCUUGGGAGCGGGGGGGUUGGUAGCGGUUCAAGGUCGGGUUGGCGGUGGCGGUGGAGAGGGGCUGCGGUCGAGGCGAUGGGGACCGGUCCCGACGGCGAGACGGGGAGCGAGACCGCCGCCGGGAGGGUUGCCGAGACCCCCCGACCGGAGAGCGGCCGCGCUCCCGCGAGUCCUCCCGGGGGGGCGAGCGGUGCGCCGGGGACCGGGAGCGGCGAUCGUCUCAGGCAGGGGACCGGCGGGCGGAGCGAGGGGGAGAGCGGCGGGUUGCACGCACUAGAGAGCGGUGGGCGAGACGGGAGUCUAGCUCCUGACAGAGGUCCUCCUCCCUCCGGAGUGCAUCCGGCGACGGGCGCGGAGGAGCCCGGCGAUCGUCGGCCCGACGCUUGGGGCAUCCCGCCCCAUCAUCCCACUCACAGGUCAUGGCCGGUGAGGUAGGAGGGGAGGGCGAGCGGGGGCCGGCUGGGGCAACGGGUCUGGUGGAGGCGAUGAGCGGGACAGUGUCGGGGGAGGAGGCGGGCGAUGUGGGAGGAAGAGGCUGACGGGGGAACCCUAAAGGCGGCCAGAUGGACCGCCUCGUCGGGCCGAGGCCCACCCGGGGGCAGGGCUGGGCCACGAGGGGAGGAGGGGGCCCAGAAGGCCCGGCCAGCGCAAGGUCAGCAACCUGCGGAACCGAUGGCGGCCCAGGAGUGCUGGGCAGGCGGCCCACAGGGCGGCCCACCACAAGCGCGGCCCGGUAGAACCAGCCAGGGGACACCAACCGGGGAGCGAGGGUUUCCCCCUGCGCCGCCGCGGAAGGGGUCGCCGGCAGGGCAUGGCAGGGGCGGCGGGGCCAGGCCGUGGUGGGAAGGAUGCCGGUACACGGAGGCACGGGGGCGCCGAAGGCCGAAAUUAAUGGGCGGAAUGGGGAGCGCCGGUGGACCACCGCCGAAAGCGCCGUCGAGGGCGUCGCCGAUGCGUCAGCCGGAGCAGAGGAGAGGGCAGCGGAGGGCGGCGAAGGACCGGAUGAUCUCCAGGAGACGCGCGCGAGGCCGCGGUCAGCCCGGCCGGCGACGCCCUACCCGCCCGAUCGGCGACCCCCAGGGCGCACGCCGGAGCCCAAGGCAGCGCCUUUCGUCAGAGUCGCCCGAGACGAGCCCGUCGGCAGGCGCAGGCGCCGGCGCCGGCCAUCCCCGCGGGCAGCUGGGCUCCCACCCCUGGGAGUCGAGCCACCGGUAGGGACAGCCUGAGGCGACCGGGCCGGAGCCUUGGGGGGGACGCGGUCGCGGCAGACGACCGGGCGCCCCGCGGCGAGGUCAUCGUCCUCCGCGAGGUCGGCCCAGACGACGUGCGGCGAGGCGGCAAGGGGGGGGGGAUGGCGGCGGAGCGGCCGAGGAGGGCAUCGGCGGGCGAACGGGGGCCGAGGGAGGGGAGGGGGGCUCAACCAGCGGCGGCGCCGGCGGAUCGCCCAGCGAGUCGCCCGAGCUCGGGGGAGCCAUCAGUGUUCCAGACUACUAGUAAGAUCCCUUCAUCAUAACCAUUCCCUUCCAACUCCAAACAACAGGAUACACCAAAAAACCUAAAGAUACAUAGCCAAAAAGUAAUGCAUCAAGUUCCUUGUAAAGAUGUUCAUACACCUCAGUGGAUAUCAUGGAUGAAUGGGCAUUACAACAAGCAAAUUUUAACAGCAUCCGUGCAAAAACGUUGCAAGAUCCCGUAAAUAAUCGUUCCCCUCCCACUUUAAACAGCAAAGAUACAUCAAGAAAUGAAAGGUACAGACAAAAAUAUCAUCAAAUUCUGCUUAAGCAAGAAGCAUGAAGAAUACAGUCUCACCUGAGUAAAGAAUCAGAAAUCAGGAUCCUGUGUUGUAGAAGCACACAUAGGAUAUCCCCGUAGAUACUAGUACAACACAAUAAUGGUAUCAUGGAUGAAUGGGCUUUACACCGUCAAGAAAAAAAAUGAAUGGGCUUACAAGCAAGAAGUUUGCAUAUUACAGGAAACUAGUUACACCUCUCGUUUCUGUGGGAGCAACAUACUCAAAUUUAAUCAAAAAGCAUUCAACACCAAUCUAAAUUUCGAAGGGGGUAAAAUUACCGCCAUUGGCUAACUACUUGUGACAACCGGCAAGGGGGCGAAAGCAAAAAAAAAAAGCUCUUCUGAGUUCCCGGGCUCACAGUGUCGUAAACUGUGUAGACUUACCUGGAGACAAAUCUCACAUGAUGAACUAGAAAAAAAAUUGAAAGGUAUGGCAUAUGCCAGGUCAAAAUAAGCUGGGGACUAAUAGGUUGAUGGACACAGAGCCAAAUCGAAUAUCCGGAGUGUAUAUGUGCAACAAGAAAACCAUCAACAUACUGCAUCCCACUGUAGCAUGAAAGAAAAGGUAACACCAUGCCUGCCAAAAUGCUGCAAGACCUCAGAAAUAACCAUUUCCUUCCAAACAAUUGGAUACAUCAAUCAAGGAACUGAAAGAUACAGCCAAAAAAUGCAUCAAAUUCCACAUAGGCAACACGAUCCGGUGUUGCUGGAGCACGCACGGGCACAGGACACCUCAGUAGAUACCAUGGAUGAGCGGGCAUUACAACAAGCAACAACUUGCCUACAAACUGGAGGCGAAAGCAGCCAUGAUAGCUGGGAAUCAGAGUUAGCGAGAUGGAAGCAAGCUGCUCCGCCACUUGGGUUGUGCGGGAGACCGACGAACCUCAACUGAGAAGCUGACAUGAAUCUGUUGUGCAGUUCAAUCUAGCUCACAUGGCAAUGCUCGGGCUUUCUUCUCCAACUCGAAUUCCUAAUGCAUCUCAUUCCCAAACGGUUCAUCUAUAAGUGCUUUGUUUUUUCGCUCUCACCCUUGGAGAUGCCACUUGUUCUUUCACUCUCUGCUUUCUUCUCCACCAACUGUGUUUUAUAGACAAGAUCCAUAGCUAUAGGUGCACCGUUCAACCACUCAAGAGGUACAAACUUGAGUGUUUGCACGGAUCGCCCGACUUGGAAGAUCUUCAUACAUUUAUGUAAGGUUCCUUGAAAUGAUUUCACAAAAUGAAUUGAUGACGCGAGCUAGGUAGUCUUCCUUCAGCUACUGAAGGAAUACUCUUAUGUACUCUGUUUUCAAUAUGCAGUACUUCAUUUUGUGGUUCCGUUUGCCCCUGAAAAAUGAAGAUAUCUCAAAUUUGGUAAGGUUAUUGGUGAUGGCUGCACAUAAAUCCAGUUUGUUCCUUUUUAUUGUGAAUGUGUUUAUCGCACUACAUGAAGAAAACUGAAUCGCUUGUAUGUUCUCUCAUUCAGUUAAACCGCCCAUACAGCCCACGAGCGAUAACAAAACUGAACUCUCUGUUUAUAUAGUCAGGAAUUUUAGAGAAAUAAAAUGCUCUUUUUAGUUCCAGGCACACAGCAUCGUAAACCGUGUCGACUUAAUGGAGACAUAUCUCACAUCAUGAACUGGAAAAUAGAAAAAUGAAAGGUAUAGCAUAUUUCAGGUCAACUAACAUGGGGAGUAAUAGGUUGAAUGCAUACGAGAAAUAAGAAAAUCAUCAGCAUCCCACUGUUUGCAUGAAAGAACAGCAUAUAGUACAGUUGAAUUCAGAAAGAAACUGGCAAACAAAGACUAGAACUAAAUAUAUCAAAGAUAAAAGCAUGCCUACAAAAACGCUGCAAAACCUCGUAAAUAAUCAUGUCCCUCCAAACAACAGGAUACAUCAAGAAACUGAAAGAUACAGCCAAUAAAUAAGAAAUGCAUCAAAUUCCACAUAGGAGCACGCACAGGACACCUCAGUAGCUAUCAUGGAUGAAUGGGCAUUACAACAAGCAACAACAUGCGUAUUACAUGAAACUGGGAACACUGCUUGUUUGCAAGUACAUGGGAGCAGCAUGCAUGUGAAUUUAACCCAAAUUCAUCCAACACGAGUCAAAAUUACACCAGGGGUGGAAGUACCACCACUGGCUAACUACUUGCGAUGCCGUCCGCCACCACCACCUCUCCCUGGUGAAUGUCGGCCUCCACGUUGUUGUGGUCUUCUACCACGGAAGGAUGAGUUCCCCUGAUUAAACUGCCCCGAAUUGAAUUGCAUCGGAGGCUGACCUCCAUCUCCACGGGGUGAAGGCAGCGAAUUGAACUGCAUAGGAGGCUGACCUCCAUCUCCACGGGGUGAUGGUAGGGAAUUGAACUGCAUAGGAGGCUGCUGACCUCCAUCUCCGCGGGGUGAUGGUAGGGAAUUGAACUGCAUAGGAGGCUGGCCUCCAUCUCCGUGCGUUGAAGGGAGGCGCCCAUGUCCUUGCAUGUUUGCAUUUCCAGGAGGCUGAUCUCCAUCCUCAUGUUGUGAUGGGAAGCGCCCAAAUCCUUGGGUGUUGGGAAAUCCAGCAGGUGGCCCUUGGUUGCCAGCCAUGUGUGGAAACUGACCAAAGUUGCCUUGCCCCAUAGAAAAUUGAGAUGCCUGACCAAAAGGAUGAUUUACUGGCGGUCCACCAAAUGGCAUCAUGUUUGCACUCAUUGUGCUCCCUGGCAUAAAUUGUUGUUGGGCCAUGGGCAUUCCAUUUGGGAAGCCACCAAAGUUCUGAUUCUGUAAAUACUGCUGGAACUGGUUGGCUCCCAUAAGUAUAUUCUGCAUAAUAUUAGCUGCAAGAGCAGCUCCAUCAACUCCCAUGUUUGGCUGCCCUGGAGGUGGAAGCCCGCCGGGCCAAACCAUAUUUGGCUGCUGAGAGAACUGCUGUGGAUUGAUGAAGCAACUGCCCAUCUGAUUUGCAAGUUGAACAGGUGAUGGCAUAGCAUGAUUCAUUGAGAUUGAUGGCAGCAUUGUUGGUGUGCUCAUAGGAAAGUUUUGAGGACCCGUUUGUCGUGUUGCGCUGUCAGCAACAGCAGUUGCCAUAUCAGACCGGUGAAAUAGAGGCUGUGCUCGGCGAUCUGCUGUUGAUGCAUCAUGGAUUCUAGGUGGCAUGUCCCUUGGUGUACUCAUCGGAGAAUUUUGUUGACCCGAAUGAUAUGUCACACUGUCAGCCAUAUCCGAGCGGUGGAAACGACGCUGUGACUGGUGACCAGAUGUCGGUGUAUUGUGGAUCCUUGGUGGCAUGUCAUUUCGAAAUCCAGCACCCCUGGUCUGCGCCCUCUUCUUGUCACCAGAAGGUUUCUUAGAAUCAUGCGGCCUAUCAGUCUGCCUUUUUACCAGUCGUAGUGAUCUUUUGUACUCAGCCUCCUGCUCAUCAUCAGAGAAUUCAGGUUCAUCUGCCUCCUCAUCAUGGUCAGCAGAUUCAUCAUAGCCUUUGGCAUAUAGCUCCUUCAUAUUUAGGAUAUGAUCUGCAAACUCCACAACAAAGCAGACUGUAGUUCCUGCACUGAUCCCAGCAGGCACUUCUUCCACGGAAUUAUACCGCACAAGAUAGUAAGGGUUUUUUACAGGUCCAAAUAUUUCAUCAACAAUGCCAAGUGGCGUCCUGCUCUCAGUUAUCCAGAGUAUAGAACCCUCAGUCAGGGGACUGUGUUCCACUGAUCCUUCAACAAUCACUCUCUCCCCCAUGAUCUGGAUGACCAGAAAACAGACAACCAAUCAGUAUAUGGAUCUCAUAGGAAAUAUACUAGUAUUUCAACAGUCUAAACAAGAACCCCUAUCUGUCUACAAAAAUAUCUAACACACUGGAAAAAUAUGCUAUUCAAAAUAAUAGCUGCAUUAAUGAAAUGUAUAGACACAAUCAUCCAAACACUAACAAAUUCCAGAAUGCACUACUAAUACAGUAAAAACAUACAUCAGUGAGUACCAUAGAUCUCUGGUUCUUACAUUACAAUGAGCUACUGGUUUUAACAUGUACAGAUAACGGUGACUGAUUAAAUCAUCAUCAGAUUACAUAGGAAGAACAGGUACCUAUAAAGUGCUGGAAAAACACAGUUUUUGUUUCCAACAAAUGCAAACAAAAAUCUAGAUGAAGUCAAAGUUAAAUUCAAGACUUACAGCUGUAAUUGUCCCCACUGGAAGUGCCUUAUGAUGCGGUUCCAACUGCACUUCAAUCUUUGGAACUGGAGGAAGUACCUGCAAGGUAUGGUACAUCUACUUUAGAAUAGAGAUACAAUCAAGGAACAACAAUAUUUUUACAGUUAUAUGAGUGGUUUUGGCAUAGUUAAAAAAGCCGCGCCUAGCUCUAUGCGGUAGCAAAACGGCAAGUGGCAAAACACACAAUUAAUGCCUAGUGCUUUUUUAAACUUUGGUUUUUGGCAACUGAGCCCAAGUAUGUUCAUGUAGCAACUACAUAGGAAUAGAAAAUAAUUUGUCACUAUGGUAGCUACAGAAAGUGCAGGAUUUUCAGAAGAACAAAUGGAUAACUAAGCAUUAACUUCUACUGGGCUAUCAAUUGAAAAAAAUGACUAUGAAACAAAUGUUUAUACAAGUCGGCUGCAACUAACUAGACCCAAGAGAGGUGCACAUCGUGAGAUAAACUUAAUACCUCUACUUCAUGUUUGGACUUGAUAGGACCCUUUGGUGUUUCGUCAUCAUCCUCAUCCUCGACUCCAGUCAUAAGCUCACCCUCUUCAAGGAGGGCCUCCAUGUCACUGGGACAACUAUGCUUUUUGGCCACCGGCACUUCCUCAUCACUGCUCGACGAGGCUUCACUCGACUCCUCAUCAUUCUUGGCCGGCUCCUCCUCCUCAUCACUGCUCGAUAAGGCUUCACUUAAUUCCUCAUCCUCGCUGCUCUCCGACUCUUCGUCCUUGCUCUCCUCCUCCCCCUUGCCUCCACCACGCUCCACUUCCUUAUUUACCAUGGCCCCAGAACUCAUCUCAGCAUCAACAGAAGCAAUGGUACUAGUAUCAGCAUCAACAGCACCUAUGGCACUCAUCUCAGCGUCAACAGAAGCCCCAGCGGGACUAGUCUCAGCAUCAACAGCAGCCAUGGCACUAGUGUCAGCAGCAACAGAGGCUACUGUACUCAUCUCAGCAUCAACCGGAGGUACAGUACUAGCCGCGGCAUGAACGGCAGCUACGCUACUAGCAUCAGCAUCACCAGCAGCUACAGUACACAUCUCGGCAUCAAUCGCUGCCCCCAAACUGUCCUCUUGUGCAACGAAAUCGCCAAUCCGCAACACGGGAGCAGGCACCCCGCCCAAUCCGCCGCCCAGCAGCACCACGGCCUCCUUCUUGACCUCCAACAGGACGCCGGGGGGAGCGUCGAGCAGGCCGGGUGGCCCGCCCUUGUCCUCCGCGGCCUCCCCCUGCCCCUCCUCGACGAUUUGGUCCGCGCCCAGCCCGCCGCCUCCGGACACCGACGCAAAAUCAAUCCCGCCCGGGCCAGCGGCCGCCGCCGCCGCCGCCGCCUCGCCGAGGCCGAAGCUCUUGGCCAGCUCGCUCGCCAUGGCCUGGUCGAAGUCGAAGUCGUCGAGGAGCCACUCCUCGACGGGGUCGAAGGCGGCGGCGGACGGGUCGGAGGGGGGCGCGGGCGGCGGGGAGGGGGACGGGGGCCUAGGAUGGCGAGCCAUGGACGGUGGGGGUGGNNNNNNNNNNNNNNNNNNNNNNNNNNNNNNNNNNNNNNNNNNNNNNNNNNNNNNNNNNNNNNNNNNNNNNNNNNNNNNNNNNNNNNNNNNNNNNNNNNNNNNNNNNNNNNNNNNNNNNNNNNNNNNNNNNNNNNNNNNNNNNNNNNNNNNNNNNNNNNNNNNNNNNNNNNNNNNNNNNNNNNNNNNNNNNNNNNNNNNNNNNNNNNNNNNNNNNNNNNNNNNNNNNNNNNNNNNNNNNNNNNNNNNNNNNNNNNNNNNNNNNNNNNNNNNNNNNNNNNNNNNNNNNNNNNNNNNNNNNNNNNNNNNNNNNNNNNNNNNNNNNNNNNNNNNGGUGGGGAACGGCUACCUGCUCUACUCUGUAGUGUUCUCGCGCGGUGGGCUGGGGAGAGUGUCUCCGUCCGCGAAUCAGGGCUCAGGAGACGCACAUCGGCAGGUCCGCCGCCCGGCACGAAUCUCAGCGCUCGGUUUCUCAACUUCAUAAAGUUUGACCAUAUUUAGAUUAAAAAAUAUAAACAUCUGCAAAUAUUAAAGUUAUACAAUGUGAAAUUUGAAUUCAUGACGCAUAUAAUGAUAUUGGUUCCGUAUUAUGAUUGUUCAUAUUUUUUUCAUAAAGUUGGUCAAACUUAGACUUGAGAUAAAUCUUAUAUGCGGAGUAAAAGGACCAGAGGGAGUAAAUGUUUGUAACGGGCCAACUGGCUGGCAUCACGCCGGUGUACGCGCUAUGCGACAUGCAUCUCUGUAGCCCACGCGCAGCUUCCCCUUGUGGGGUUCAUGCAUGCUCGACCCUCUCCUACAUUAUUCCUUCGCGGCAUUGUCUCCUCCACUCAUUUAAUCUGUCGCUCAUUUUCCUCGAUCUUUGCCGCAUCUCGUCUUCUUCAUUGUUGCCUGCUGUUGCGCGCCGGUGAGCGGCGUGAUGAGGCCCUACUGCAAGCCACCUCUGGGGUAGCGAGGCACUGCAGCAUGCAACUAGGGGACGAGCCACCGUGGGCGGCAAAUACGACAACAAUCAGACCCUCAUUUCCCCCCUCCGGCACACAUGAGCUACAACGACAGUGAUGGGGGACGCUAGUAUGAUGUUAACGGGGUGCUGUGAUGGGGGGAACCGCGUGUUCCAACUGCGGUUGCCGAAUGCUGGAACCAGCCGGCUAUGAUGCUGCGACUGCAGCCACCACAUGCUGGAGCCGAAGUCGAGAGAUGCUACGACCAUGGCCGCCACAUGCUGGAACCAGUCGGAUGUGGUGUUGCGACCUGGGCGUAUGCUUCGUCGUCGUGGCGUUCAAUGACUUAUGGUGGAAGUUGCAACUGACGCAUGGGCUAACUGCAAUCGGCGCCUAGGAUAGUUGCGAACGGCGACACUAGAAGAUGUGGUUAGGGGUGAGCCAAGAAGAUGUGACUGGCUGUGAUACGACCAACAACCCUGGGAGCGGCGGCUAGGGGUGAGCAAAUAAGAUGUGACUGGCGGUGGAGGAUAUUGUGACUGAGAAGCCCAAAAGAUGCGUCCGACGCAGGGCAUAGAUGUUACUCGGGACUCGCGGCGGUGGGCAAGCCCAGAAGCUGGAAUUAGCAACGGCCAAUGUUGCGAGCAGGAGAGGAGGCUGCCAUAGAAAAUUCCCGAAGCGAAAGGUGUAGCCGCAAUAUAGCAGACAAAGCGGGAGCUGUAGCCACAAUACUAAAUUCCCAAACAUUUUUUUAUUCAUGAUUUUUUUGAUAAUGCAAACAAUUUUUGGAAAUUCUGAACAAAUUUUGAAAAGGGCGAACACUUUUUUUGUUUUUGUGAAAUAUUUGAAAACAUGAACAACUUUUGUAAAAGACAAAAUUUUGUUGAAGUUAUCAACAACUUUUGAAAAAAACAAACUUUUCUGAAAUAUUGAUUUUUUAAGCGAGAAUAUUUGUUUGAAAAUUAAAAAACGUCAACAGUUUUUGAAAACAAAAAAUAUUGAAGAAAAAAACAAAAAACAAAAAAUAAAAAUAAAAUAAAAAGGAACAGAAACGGGAAAAUGAAAACCUAGAAAAACCGUAAAAGAAAAAACCGGUUCUGGUGUAGUGGGCCGGCCCAUUUCUCGUGUUGGGGGGUUUGCCCUGUGCGUGCGGUCGACUUUACGACGUAGAGAGCGUCACAUAGGAUUUUCCCAUUGUUAGUUAUUAGUUAUGUUAAAAUUUUAAAAUAAUAGUUAUAUGUAUGUGUUAUGGUUUUAAAUACUUCCCUGUAAAACCUGGCAUGGAUGCUAACUAUGGGCACGCCCACCUGCUCACAAAAGUUGGGGUUAUUUUAGUAAUGUUCAAAAAACACCAUGUUCAACAUAGGAUGUUUGGGCACGCCAGAAGGCUCCAUGUGAGAAUACGUUAUUUCUCAACAUCCUUUAAUGUCCCAAUUUUUUAUCAUGCCUUGUAUGACCAAUUCAAAGCACCAUGCCAAUUCGUUUGGGUUUUGGACAAGUUUUGCAUUUUCUCGAGUUUUCACGGUGAAAAAAGACCGAUAAAUGGUUGGACGUGUCGCAACAUGCAUCCUGUGUUAGAAUUCAUUCAAACCUGACAUGGAUACCUACCAUGGGCAUGCCCACCUCGUGGCAAAAGUUAGGAUCAUUUCAAUGACCUCCAAAAAAACACCAUGUUCAACGUAGGGUGUCUAGGUAAGUUAAAAGGUUCCGUUCAAGAGCACUUUUUUUACAUCCAUCAAAUUGCCCUAAAUUUUUUUCCAUGUCCUUGUAUGACCAAUUCAAGUCACGACGCCAAGUUUUUUUGUUUUUUCACCAAGUGUUGUAUCUUCUAGAGUUUUUUCGAGAAAAAAUGCCGAUAAAUGGUCGGAUGUGUUGCAACAUGCAUACGGUGUCAUAAGUCAUUCGAACUAGACAUAGAUGCCUUACAUGGCAUCCCACCUGAUGGCAAAAGUUGGGGUCAGUCAUGAGAUUUUCAAAAAAUACCAUGUUCAACGGAGAGUGUCCGGGUAGGCCAGAACGGUCCGUUUGGGAGCACCUCGUUUCUCGACAUCCCUUGAAUGUGGUCAAUUUUUUUCAUGGCCUCGUAUGACCAAUUCAAUGUACGAUGCGAAGUUGUUUCGGUUUUUGAUAAGUUUUGCAUUUUCUAGAGUUUUCUCUGUUAAAAAACAUCGAUAAAUGGCCACACGUGUUGCAACUUUCAUACGGUGUUGAAAGUCGUUUAAAUCAGGCAUGGAUGCCUAACAUCUACUUCAAAAAUUAAGGUCAUUUCAAGGAUGUGUAAAAAAUUAAUCAUGUUUAACACAGGGUGUCUGGGUAGGCCAGAAUGGUCCAUUUGAAAACACAUUGUUUGUAGACAUCUAUUAAAUGGCCUCAAUUUUUUCCCAUCAACUUUAGUGACCAAUUCAAGGCAUCAUGCGAAGUUGUUUGGAUUUUUGACAAGUUUUGCAUUUUCUGGAGUUCUCUCGAUCAAAGGGACUAAUAAAUGUCCGGACGUGUCGUAAUGUGUAAACGGUGUCGGAAAUCGUUUAAACUUGACAUGGAUGCCUGAUAUGUCUGGCUAGGCUGCUGUAAGAAGUUGGGAUCAUUUAUCCAUAGUUUAAAAAACCACCAGUUAAGAGAAGUGUGCCAGACUAGGCCAGACGAGUGCAUCCGUGAGCACGUAGUUUGUUUUUUUUUUUUUGCUAAUUUGUAUGCUUCUAUUAUUUGCAAUUUCUGUCAUUAUCAAUCAACAUAAACAUAUUCGGGUACCUUGUAGACGAUUCAUGAAUUGUUUUUUCUUUUUAUUUCUGUUUCUUUUUUCUUCAAAGUAGCUGAUUUCAAAAGAUGUCAACAUAUUUAUUUAUGCAUAUUUUUCAGAUUAGGUCAAAAAUUUCAAAAAAAUGGUCGUCUUUUCAAAAAAGUUCAGAGUUUCAAUUUUUUUGUGUUUUCAAAAAAAUCAGAAUUUGAUUAUUUUUUUCAUUUUUCGUUUUUCCAAAGUUUCAAAAUUUGUUCCACAUUCCAGAAAAUUUGUAUCAAGUUCCACUUUUCGAAAUUUCAUGAUUGUUGUUUUUUGUAUCUCGAGGCGCGAGCUAAAUUUUUAGCUUAAAUUAUAUGACAUAUUGUGUUUGCGUACUCAUUUGUUUUCAGAAGUUUUGGAAAGUUUUUGCCUAAAUUUUUGACCUUGGUGCUUGGUAGCACAAGAAUCUCCGUUACACCAGAUACAUCCUCCCCUAAAUGGGCUGGCCUAGGCGCGCUAUGUCUGUUUUUUCUUUUCUCUUUUCGUGUGAAAAAAUUGAUCAUUUAUUUAAAAAUGUUAAUCAAGCAUUUGAAAAAAAACUAUUUGAAAAAUAUGAAUCAAGCAUUUAAGAAAAGUUAAAUGUGUGUAGAAAAUAUGUUACCCAUGUAUAUUAAAAAAUAUUAAUUUUAUCUGAAAAAUGUUAAAUAUGUAGAGAAAAAAUGUAGACUAUGUAUUAAAAAUUAUUAAUCUUGUAUUGAAAAAAUGUUAAUCAAGCAUUUGAGAAUAUUUAAAUAUGUAUGGAAAAAUGUUGACCAUGUAUUCAAAAUUUUGUAAUCUUGUAUUUGAAAAAUAUUUAAAAUGUGUAUAAAAAUGUUGACCAUGUAUUAAGAAAAUGUUAAACUUUUGUUUGAAAAAUGUUAAUCUAGAAUUGGAAAAAUGUUAAAUUUGUAUAGAAAAAAUGUUGACCAUGUAUUCAAUUUUGUUGAUCCUUUAUUUUUGAAAUGACUAUUAUUAGAAAAAUGUAUUAGAUAUAUACCAAAAAUGUGUAUAGAACAACAGCAAAUACUGAGAGAAAACAAAAAAACUGAUGAAAAACGAAAUAAAGAAAACCAAAGAAACUAAAGAAAGAAACACCUCAGAAACGUAGAAAAAUGGAAACCCGAAGAAAACCGUGGAAAUUCACGAGGAAACAAAGAAAAAAGAAGAAAAAAACAGAAAAGAAAACAGGAAAACAUAGAAAAGAAAACAGUGCAAAAGAGAAAAAGGAAUCAUAUAAACAAGAAAAACCGAGGAGAACGAUAAAGAAAAAAACUUGAGAAAAGAAAAACCUGGUGAAAACAAGGAAAUAUAUAAAGAAAAUCGAUGAAAAACAAAGAAAUCCAUGGAGAAGCAAAGAAAACUGGUAAGAUCCAUGUAAAAAAAAUUAAAAACAAUAAAAAAGAAAUAAAAACAGAAUACCAAAAAAAGUAAUGAAAAAGAAAAUAAAACGAAAAAUAAAAAUAAAUAAAUAAAUAAAUAACAUACCGAACGAGCGAGUGAGUAUUGACAAAUCCAACGAGCAGCGAUAGUGCGAGGGAGGAGAUGAAAAUGGUUUGGUCCGAUUCGUUCACAGGAGCAAAAUUCCUUCAGGCAAGAGCAGCUAACUUGGGGUGUUUCACGUGGAUAUAGACUAGUCCUGAGUCCUGACUCCUGGAAGAGCCAGUCUGUAGUAUGGACGAACCGGGGAACUCCUUGUCCAGCAAACUUUUCUGAUGAGGAGGGUCAUACAGUCAUACUUCAGAAAAGGGUUGUUUUGGCAACAUGGUCUACAUAAAAUAGGUGUAAGAAAUGGAGAUACAAGGGCACAUAAGUCCAUCAGAAAAGGUUGCCUCAGCCAACCAAAUGCUCUUAAUUACCAGUUAACCAAGUCAGGCACCAAAAAAUUCAUUGCCUUUACUAAUAGUAGUAUAGCACUAGACUACUAGCGGUAAGAAAGAGCGAGAAACUAAGUAAGUUGGAAAUAAAAGGUGAAGAUUACUCUUUUUUCUCAACGCGCCUUCAAAAGGAACCAAGUAAGUUGGAAAUAAAAAUAGCGACUUGAAUGUAUUACCUUUAAAAGGCAGACCGCAGUUUGGACAAGACCUUGACGAAUUGCAUCUAGCUUGCUGAAAGCUCAGAAGUUUCCUCCCAUGCCAUAGUCUUUCUUUUUUCCUGUGAUGGAGUAGCAGCCGUAGGCUCAGAGGUUGACUAUAAAUAAAACAGGUUCCUGUCCAGGACAUCAACUGUGAACGCAGACAUCGUACCUGACCAAGGGAGUUUAUUGACCGGAAUAUCGUUCACAUAUAUACAGAAUAUAUCAGUGACUUAUACCGUGCGUCUAUAUAUAAACUGCGUUUUUUUGCCCUCAUACACCACCUACCUUAGCACAUCGCAAGAUGGAUCUUGUCAUAGCCGCUGUCGCAGGUGAUCUCUCGAACCGUUUCAUCUCUUUCCUGAUGAACAAGUACGCAGAUCACGCGUGCUUGGAGGACAAGGUGGAGAGGCUGCAACAGCUCUUGCUGAGAGUUGGCAUGGUCGUCGAGGAGGCGGACUCGCGGUACAUCACCAACUCUUGUAUGCUCAUACACAGUGGCGAAUCUAGACAGAAACUGAAGGAUGGGCUCAAAGCCUGUAUCAUGCGAAUAUCUAUUAGGUUGGGCUUGCAAGUGGCUGAGUUGGGCUUUGAAACUAGUAGUAAAAAACUUUUUUACAGUGCUGGAGGGGGGGGGGGGCCCAACUCUUGUAUGCUCAUACAGCUGAAGACCCUAGCGACAGCCAUGUACCAAGGCCACCAUGCGCUUGACACCAUCAAGUAUGGGAAACACAAGGAUGUUGCCGAGGAAUUGGUAUGUGACGCAUUCGCCUUAUCUGUUUCUACUCCUUGCAAACGUUCUCGCAUAAUCGGUACUCGUGCAACAAACAAGGUUCUCAAUCCGGAGUUGCAAAGCGCGCUGCAAAACCUAGAGGCUAGUGUUGCUAACAUGGCGGAGUUUGUCGUGCUUUUGGGGGGAUGCGAGCGCAUCUCCCGUCGACCCUAUGACGCAUAUUUUACAUCGACAACUUCAUGUUUGGUCGCCAUGUCGAGAAGCAGCAGAUCAUCAGGUUCUUGCUGCACCACAACACCCGUGGUUCUCCGGCCGUGCUUCCAAUCAUUGGUGGCCCUGGAGUUGGGAAGAAAACUCUUGUCGCCCAUGUAUGCGACGAUGAGAGGGUGCGUUCUAACUUUUCUAUGAUUUUGCACCUAAAUGGAGAUGAUCUUUUCAGAAUGACACACCAUGAAAGCUUGUCAGGGAGGAUACUGGUAGUUAUUGAGUUUGUUUCAUAUAUACAUGAAGAUGACUGGACAAGAUUCUAUCAUUUUUUUAUGAACAUGGACAGAGGAAGCAAGGUCAUGAUCUUAGGUAAAUUCGCAGAGCUAGAGAAGUUUGGAACCGUUAAACCUAUAUCACUGAAAUGUUUGGCAUUAGAAGAAUUCAGGUACCUGUUCAAGACCCUAGCAUUCGGAAGUGCGGACCCGACAGAUUAUCCGCGAUUAGUCGCGAUGGUGGAAGAGUUUGUCAAGGUGUUGGGAGGGUCACUCACCUUAGCAAAUGUGCUUGCAGAUGCACCGAGGAAAAAUCUAGUUGCCCGUUUCUGGAUGUACAGGUUGAACGCGGUCAGAGAUAUGGUCAAGGCGAACAUUUCUUAUUUUGGCGCCCAUCCACAGGUGCUUCUGAAUCAAGGUCACCCAGUGCACCUAAUCGGCGGAAACAUUUUGUCUCCUGCUGCUCCAUCGCGUGUUGUAGACUGUGCUAUCGGUAUGGCUAAUGCUCCGGAAGAUGGUCUACCUAGGAUUAUGUUUGGGGACUUAAUAUCAGCAGCAGGUCACCUUGUCUUACCCAAAGGAGAUUUUAGGCUAAUUUCAUGGGAAUCAAGGCUACCGCCUUACACACAAUUUAUUCACUUGGUGCACUCUCCGUUCCAAGCUGCCCCAAUGGUAAAACUGUAACACCCUUGUCAGGGAAAAAGCGUCCGAGUUUAUUUAUGGCCUGCAUAAAAUAGGUAUAAUAAAUGAAAAUGCCAGUGAAUAGAAGUCCAUCAGAAAAAGGUUAGUUCAGCAAAUGCCCUCAAUUACCAGCUAACGAAGUGAGAGAAUAUGUGCUAACCAAGUCACACAACAAAAUUUUAGGGCAUUGCUACUUGCCAGUUUCUAGUCGUAUCUGACCAGAAGAGAGAACCAAUGCAAGGACCCAAAUUUACUUGAAAUUGUGCUGACCUCGGUGGCGCGGCAGGCCAGCAAGCUCACAUCGUCAGCCCUCCAGAGAAAGUAUUGGUGGCUUGACGGUCAUUUCACAGAACACCAUCCGGGCACCAGAGCGGAGCUGACUUCCUCACAUCCUGCCUUACUGGAGACAGAGGAAGUGACACACAGUACCAAUGGUUAAUUUUUUUUCAGACCGGAACAGCAGGUGCUCCGGCUUUUUAUUAUAGUAGGAGGAAAAACUUUACAAAACCAGGAUGCCGGGAUUUACUGUAAUGAAAAACCGGGUGCACCGAAAAAGGAAUUUUUUCCAAGAGGUUUACUUUAAUGAAAAACUUUGUAAGAAAUGCAAUACAUAUGGUUCUUUGGAUAAAAUUCCUACGAGAUAAAAUCCUACAAACCAAACAUCUUACACACACACAAUACAGGUUAUAAAUACAUGACUUCCUAGAAGGCUUGCAUUCAAUAUUUUCUAACUUUCACUACAAAUAUAUAUCCAAAAAAAAAAUUGUAUUGAUUGAAUGAAAAUGGUACAUUAAAACUUUAUUUUUUUAAUAAAAAAAUAGCAUUCCAUGAUCAAAAGAUGUGUAUCGGAGACCAUGUCAAUAUUUGAGUUAUCUAUUUCUAAUCUGAGCGAAUACUUGAGAUUCCAACUGUACAAAAUCCCCGUAGAAAUCGUCUGAAUCAAAAGGCCUUACAAAGGCACCGCUGCACGCUUCCUCCCAGACAGGGGAGUACUCUGUUCCGCCGCACCUAGAGCACCAUUUCCACUUGUAGCGAAAUGAACAAACGAGGUAUAAGGCGGCAAUCUUGACUCCCACGCAACUACAUUGAAAUCCCCUUGCGGCCGGACUCCAGGAUCCAGCAGCAGAUCCCCAAGCCUUACCCUCGGCAGAAACUCCCUUCCCACAGCAACCUCAGUGCGGCUGCUGCCGCUGGUACAGGAAGGCACGAUGCAGAGUGGAGAAGCAGCAGGAUGCAAGAGGAACUCCGUAAUAUCUAUCUGGUGGCGUCUCUGGAAGAGGGACCUCGGAUGCUUACCGAACAUGGAGAGGUUCCUCUCAAUGGCCUUUCUCAGCCUGCUCAGCAUGCCGAGGCAGAAACGGUCGUUCAGAUUCCUUCUCAUUAAGUCCGCAAAUAUGUUCGCAUCACCAAGUGAGUAUUCCGAGUGGAAUUCUCUGGCCAGUUCGUCUGCAAUCCAUGCUAACCGCGGGUGCUGUACCGGGUUCGCGCUCCUGAACGAGAGUGUCUUGAAGAGGUAGCUGAACUCCUCAUAUGACAGGUUGUUGAGGAAGAUUGGCUCAACGGUUCCUAGUCGUUCUGUACUUUUAAGCCGGCUGAUGAUGAUCACCUUGCUUCCACUGUCCAUGCUUGUUGCAACGGAUGAACAGAACUUGGCCCAAUCCUCCUCGUCGACAUCUGGAACAAGCUCAACAACCACCAGUAUCUUGCCUGGCAAGAGGCUACGAUCAUGGUCUGCGAAUCUAGAGAAGGAAUCCCCAUUCAGGUGCAGAACCGAAGAGAAGUGUGAGCGGACCCUCUCGUCCUUGCAUCCAUGGGCGACCAGGGUCCUCUUCCCGGCCGUAGGAGCACCGAUGACCGGGAGAACAGCAGGCGCGUCACCAGGAGAGCCAUGCUGUAGCACGAAGUUCAGGAGCUUCUGCUUCUCAGCAUGUCGUCCGAACAUGAUGUUGUCAUUGUACAGAUACGCAUCGUAUGGUCGACGCAGCAUACGGUCGCACCCACCCAGAAGAACAACAAACUCCGUCAUGCCAGCGACUACAUCCUCCAAGCUCCAUCUUCAGUUCUCCGACCGACCGAAGGGUGCCAAUUAACCAGGGAAUCGAAUAGAGGGCAGGAGAAGGAGGUGGUGGUAAUUGCAGGCUGGCCGUGUUUCCUGUUCCUCUACCUGUAAAACGUUUGUACACUACUCUUUGUAGGUUUAGCGUUAUUGACCUGUACGUCAAUGGCCGUAGGUGCUGAAAAAUAUUGGUUAGGUAUGGACUACUCCGCCUCUAGCCUAUGAAGAUUACAUGCUGAUCUCAGCUUAUCUUUUCACACAUCAUGGAAAAAUCAUAGUGACUUCCUGACUGGGGAACUCCUUGUCAGUAGUAUGGACGACCAGGGAACUCCUUGUCCAGCAAACUUUUGAGAUGGGACAAUGACAAGGGUCAUACUUGUCUAUGUUCUUCUCUCUCUAGGAAGGCUUGUUACGGCAAUAUGGCCUGUUUAAAAUAGGUAUAAGAAAUGGAAAUACAAAUACAAGGGCAUAAAAGUCAUCAGGAAAGGUUGCCACCGCCAAUUAAAAUGCCCUUAAUUACCAGCUAACUAAGUCAGGCAACGAAAUUUUUAUGAACUUUACUACUAGUGGUAAGGAAGGGCAAGAUUUUUCAGGCGGGGUAAACAAUGUCACAGGUCGUAACUACAAGAUAAAAGGAAGUGUAAUUUACUCUCUUUUUUAUCGACACGUCUUCAAAAGAAACUAAGCAAGUUGGAAAUGAAGAUAGCGACAAUUGAAUGGUGAUAGCGACAAGUGACAUUUACCUUAGGCGGACGGCGGUGUGGACAAUCGAGUGCAAUCGCUUGGCGAAGAAGACCUUGAUGAAUUGCAUCUAGCUUGCCGAAAGCUCAGGAGGUUGACUAGAAAAUUUCUUCACCUGUCAUAGUUGUUCCUUUGGCUAUGAUGGAGCACCUGUCCAUCAUAGUUUGUCCAUCUCACCUCCCCAACAGGAUGGUUUGUUCACACAGCAAGAAAAAUAUCUGCUCACCUGUCACUAUAAAACAGGUUCUUGUCCCAGACAUCAACUGUGAACGUGAGACUCUGACCAGGGGAGUUUAUUGACUGAAACAUAGGUGGCAAUAUAGAAUAAUACCAAUGACUUGUACUGUCCAUAUGUAAACUGCAUCUUGGCCUCCUACACCACCUAGCUUAGAACACCUCAAGAUGGAUCUUGCCAUAUCAGCUAUCACAGGGGAUCUGGCUAAUCGAAUCAUCUCUUUUCUGAUGAGCGAAUACAUGGAUCACGUAUGCUCGGAGGAGAAGGUGGAGAGGCUACAACAACUCUUGCUGAGAAUUGGCAUGGUCGUCGAGGAGGCGGACUCACGAUACAUCACCAUGCUCAUACAGCUGAAGACGCUGGUGGCAGCCAUGUACCAAGGCCACCAUGUGCUUGAUACCAUCAAGUACAGGAAACAUAAGGAAUUGAUAUGUGACUCAUCGGCACUAUCUAUUCCCACUCCUAACAAACGUACACGCACACUCGUUAGUAGUGCAUCACACAAGGUUUUCAACUCAGGGCUAAUAAGAACUCUGCAAAACCUAGAGGCCGGUGUUGCUAACAUGGCGGAGUUUGUCAUCCUUUUGGGCGGAUGCGAGCGCAUCUCCCGUAGACCCUAUGAUGCAUAUCUUUACAUCGACAACUUCAUAUUUGGCCGCCAUGUCGAGAAGCAGCAGAUCAUCAGGUUCUUGCUGCACCACAACACCCCAGGUUCUCUGGCCGUGCUUCCAAUCAUUGGUGAUGCUGGAGUUGGGAACAAAACUCUUGUCACCCAUGUAUGCGAUGUUGAGAGAGUGCGUUCUCACUUUUCUAUGAUUUUGCACCUGAAUGGAGAUGAUCUUUUCAGAAUUACAGACCAUGAAAGACUAUCAGGGAGGAUAUUAGUAGUUGUUGAGUUUGCUUCAGAUGUAGAUGAAGAUGACUGGACAACGUUCUAUCAUUUUGUUACGAAUAUGGAGAGGAAGUAAAGUGAUAAUCUUGGGUCAAAGCGCAGGCUUGGAGAAGUUUGGAACCAUCAAGCCUGUUUCUCUGAACUCCCUGGCAUUCGAUGAGUACAUGUACCUAUUCAAGACACUCGCAUUCGGAAGUACAAACCCGGCAGACUACCCGCGGCUAGCAGCGAUGGUGGAAGAGUUCGCCACGGUGUUGGGAGGGUCAUUUAUCGCAGCGAAUGGCUUGCAGAUGCACUGCGGAAAAACUCGAGUGCUCAUUUCUGGCUGUACAGGUUGAAGGGUGCCAGAGACUCUGUCAAUAAGGACAUCUCUUGUUUUGGUACCCACCCGCAGGUGCUUCUUAGUCGAGGCCAACUGGUACACCUAAUCGGCCGCUACAUUUUAACUCCUGCUGCUCCAUCAGGCAUUGUAAACUCUGCUAUUGGUAUGGCUAAUGUUCCAGAGGAGCAGGGUCUACCUAGGAUUAUGUUUGGGGACCUAAUAGCAGCAGCAGGUCACGCUGUCUUACCCAAAGGAGAUUUUAGGCUAAUUUCAUGGGAAUCAAGGCUGCCGCCUUACACUUCAUUUUCUCACUUGGUGCACGCUGUGCCGAGUUGCGUCCAUGACAAGCCUGAAACAUCCUUGUCAGGGAAGAAGCGUCCAGGUCUAUUUNNNNNNNNNNNNNNNNNNNNNNNNNNNNNNNNNNNNNNNNNNNNNNNNNNNNNNNNNNNNNNNNNNNNNNNNNNNNNNNNNNNNNNNNNNNNNNNNNNNNAGUAGUGCAUCACACAAGGUUUUCAACUCAGGGCUAAUAAGAACUCUGCAAAACCUAGAGGCCGGUGUUGCUAACAUGGCGGAGUUUGUCAUCCUUUUGGGCGGAUGCGAGCGCAUCUCCCGUAGACCCUAUGAUGCAUAUCUUUACAUCGACAACUUCAUAUUUGGCCGCCAUGUCGAGAAGCAGCAGAUCAUCAGGUUCUUGCUGCACCACAACACCCCAGGUUCUCUGGCCGUGCUUCCAAUCAUUGGUGAUGCUGGAGUUGGGAACAAAACUCUUGUCACCCAUGUAUGCGAUGUUGAGAGAGUGCGUUCUCACUUUUCUAUGAUUUUGCACCUGAAUGGAGAUGAUCUUUUCAGAAUUACAGACCAUGAAAGACUAUCAGGGAGGAUAUUAGUAGUUGUUGAGUUUGCUUCAGAUGUAGAUGAAGAUGACUGGACAACGUUCUAUCAUUUUGUUACGAAUAUGGAGAGGAAGUAAAGUGAUAAUCUUGGGUCAAAGCGCAGGCUUGGAGAAGUUUGGAACCAUCAAGCCUGUUUCUCUGAACUCCCUGGCAUUCGAUGAGUACAUGUACCUAUUCAAGACACUCGCAUUCGGAAGUACAAACCCGGCAGACUACCCGCGGCUAGCAGCGAUGGUGGAAGAGUUCGCCACGGUGUUGGGAGGGUCAUUUAUCGCAGCGAAUGGCUUGCAGAUGCACUGCGGAAAAACUCGAGUGCUCAUUUCUGGCUGUACAGGUUGAAGGGUGCCAGAGACUCUGUCAAUAAGGACAUCUCUUGUUUUGGUACCCACCCGCAGGUGCUUCUUAGUCGAGGCCAACUGGUACACCUAAUCGGCCGCUACAUUUUAACUCCUGCUGCUCCAUCAGGCAUUGUAAACUCUGCUAUUGGUAUGGCUAAUGUUCCAGAGGAGCAGGGUCUACCUAGGAUUAUGUUUGGGGACCUAAUAGCAGCAGCAGGUCACGCUGUCUUACCCAAAGGAGAUUUUAGGCUAAUUUCAUGGGAAUCAAGGCUGCCGCCUUACACUUCAUUUUCUCACUUGGUGCACGCUGUGCCGAGUUGCGUCCAUGACAAGCCUGAAACAUCCUUGUCAGGGAAGAAGCGUCCAGGUCUAUUUGCCUACGUUUUUUUUCCAACUGGGCUCAACCCCUUUCCAUUAAUUUCACAAUCAACGGAAAUACUACAUCAGUCUGUAUCCACUUUGUCUUAGAGACCAAACCACUAACCAAGGUUGUCAGAAUCGCGAUUUUGAAUCGGAUCGGAGCUCUGAUGGUAAGAUCGCAAAUCGUAAAAUCUUCACUAUCAGGAUCGUAGAAACGUAGAUUCUAUGAACUAAAAUCGUAGAAUCAUAGGAGUUAGUUUGGAUCGUAAAGUCGUAGAAUCGUAUAACAAAAUCGCGAUUCUGACAACCUUGCCACUAACCACUAACAGAAUGGAAGAUACCGCCUCCUGUUUUUUGAGAGCUAAUGAAACUAAAAAGGGGGGAGCGAGUUGGUGUAUCAUCAGGAAACCCACCGCAGGACGAUCCUGGAACGGACCAUCCGCCAUGGGGCGAAAACCUGAUGACACUCACAAGCCACAGCCCAACGAAACAAAAGACCCAGGAUAAGAUAUGUUGGUAAACGUCUGCGACUAAGCGAACUACUGCCAGAAGACAUAAACCCAGCGGGCAUCAAACCCCAGUGGGGAACAGCGAGCAAAAGGAUCGAGCGCUGAACUUCUAGCCAAUCUGGAUCCCAUCUCUGUCUCCUAAGAGUGGCCUGCCUCGAGGAUGAGAUCUGUCCACCAGCGCAGCAGCCGCGUGAGCCAACCUCUUCACUCCAACUUGGAGCUUCACCUUUUCAUCUUCCUUUAGCAAACCUGCCCAAUACAUCAGAAACGAGCAGGCGGUGAAAACAGCCUCCAGAGGAGAACGAACAACAUGGUUAUCAAACGUAACUUUAUUGCGGAGGGUCCAAAUCCCCCAUCAUAUUGCAGCAAUAAUCAUCAUGUAAAAAAGCUUCCCGCCCGGAAAAAACUUAUAAAGCCAAGCGAAGCUCUGCCAGAGAGAACGAGGACAGCAGGAUGCUCCAGCCGUCAUGCCCAACACUCCCCAGACCGAACAAGCAAGCGAGCAAGUAAAAAACAAAUGAUUUGCUGUCUCAACGUCAGUACAGAAGGAACACAUGGGGUUUCCAGACCAGUUCCUGAUACGCAUAUUAUCCCGAGUAAGAACUGCAUUCUGAAACAGCUGCCAAAGGAAGAUUUUAAUUUUCAGCGGGAUAGGUGCUUUCCACACCAUCUUAUAGUUAGGGCAUGAUAAAUUCCUUUCCAAUCAUUCAUAUAAGGAUUUAGUAGUAAAUUUCCCUUUGCUGCCAAGGCCCCAUAGAAUCUUAUCUGGGGAGUCGUUCAACGACAGUUUUUUUAGCUUCCAUAACCAUCCAAGCCCACUGCUCGCCCAACUCCCCAACUAGGCUACGCCUAAAGCCAAG